rnacentral:lncRNA from 1 species
CAAAAAGAUAAAUUCAAUUCUGCAAAAGUCCAGAGCAGUGGUAAGACCAUGGCACCCUUCAAAAACAUUUCAGGUUACUCACAUCACCCCUUUUGUGACUUCCUGUCCCCUCCCAAAGUGUGCAUCACUGGCUAUGUGGCAGAGAUGCUGUGAAAUCAGAAUUUCAUUCCAUAUUAGCAAUCAUUGAAAAGGUUAAGCCUUAGAAACAACAAGAGAAAUGAAAAGAAGAAAUUGUUGUGAAUCUUCACUGGCCCCUAUAUGUACUCUCAGAGCCCUCUACAACUUGGAGAUUACAAAGAGAUGAGAGGAGAGGGCAGAUAAGUAUUGGUUUUCAUUUUUAAAUGCGUUUCUCUGAGGAUCAGAGGCUUUCUUAUUAUAUCUAUUUCACCUUCAAAAUGGCAUCGUGGAGUUCCCCGUAAAGGUUACUCAUGAAUCUGAGGAUUUGCCUUUCUGACUCAGAGUUUACUGGCAUUUGCUAAAUGUUUGGCUUUGUAUUCAUAUUUAACUUUGACUAUGAUGAGAGUAAGGCAUUGUCUCAUUUAUUAGAUAGCACUGGCUGGGCUGGAUUAAGGGUUGAAUCAUUUGACACUGGCCCCUGCAGCAGCUUGAGUCUUCUGAAAUGUUUUGCAGCCACAACCUGCUUCCAUCAGAUUGUAUUUCUGCCUGUCCUCGCUCUCUGGCCCCACAGAGUUGUCUGAGGUCAUGUGUUAGGUUAGCUGUCGGUGAGUGACCUCUUUCACCUCUCUCCAAACCCACCCUUUGCCUUUGCAGGUAGCCUGAGGCAUUCCCUCACUGAGAGGGUUCUGGAAACAUUAACUGCCCCCCAUGUCCCUCCUUCUUGGCUCUGUUUCUCUAAUUACCACAUUUGGGAAAACAGGGUAGAAGCGGAGCUGCUCCUCCAGUUGGGAACACUAAAAUAUUCCCUUCUAGGUCUUCAUGGAAAAGGUCAAGAAAUUAAUUUUAGAUGAAUAUCUUCACCUUCUUAGCCAGUUGCUGUAUUAAUGAUCUCAUGAGAGAUGGCUCCUUAAACUGGCCUUAACACAGGUCACAGAGGAGUAAGAAUGUGCUCUGUUUAAUGAGUCAAGAAUCAAAGCCCCUAAUAUUUUCUCACUGGCAUAUAGAUGCCAGAAAUCAUCAAGGAGUCAAGAACGAGAAAAAAAGCCUAGUGCCGUAUGCAGGGCCCUGUAUUCUGCUGAGAAGAUAAAAGGCCUCUGUGAGUCUAACCAUUUUUCUUUGUGCUUCAGGCUUUUUAUCCAUUUGGAGGAGCUAGCAUUAUAUUGAUUUUUUUCUUUUUUAAUUUUCUCAAAAUACAGAAGAAUUGAAAGAAUUGAAUAAUGAUCACAGUGUACUCACCACCAAAAUUUAACAUUAGGACAUAAUUACUACUAAUUUGCCUUUCUAGAUAGAUACCACUAUACUUGCUAGACAUUUCACAGUAAUAGCAAAUUCAUAUAAAGCCACAAUAUUAUUAUCACACCUAAGUAAAUAAAUAGCAGUUCUUUAUAAUAUCUAUGUUGUGUAUUUAUUCAUUCUUCCAAUUGUCUUGUCAAUACUUUUUAUAACUUUUUUCAACUAAUAUCCAAACAACUUUCCUAUGUUUUGUUUUCUCUCUUAAUCUAUGAAAGAGGUCCAACUUCUUUAUUUUUUUUUCAUGACAUUCUUUUUCUAAGAAACUCGAUAAAUUUUGUUGUAUCCUGUACCACAUUCUUCACUCUUCUGUUUUCUGAUGGUGAUUUUUAACUUGUCCCUUUAUCCUCUGUAUUUCCUGUAAACUGUAUGAUUAAUGUCAAAGCUUAAUCAAGACCAAGGAAGACUUUUUGGCAAGAAUACUUUAUAAAUAAUGCUGAGUACUUCAUAUACAUCUAUGUAAGAAGUUCAUGAUGUCAGAUUAUCCUACAUUCAGUGAUAGUAAAUUUAUUCAGUUGGUUGAGAUGAUGACUGCUACAUUUUGUCAUUAUAUGUGUUCCCCUUCAAUAUUAGCAAGCAAACUUUGGGGUAAUACUUCAGCAUUAUCAAAUUGUGACCUAGUUGUUUUAUACUCAUUGAUUAUUCUGGUUUUCUGAAUCAGUUAUUUCAUUGAUGGUUGCUGAGUAGUGAUUUUCUCUUGUUACCAUUUUUUCUACAUUGAUCUCUGGCAUUUUUUUUUUUUUGUAAUGAUGUUUUUCUGUCAACAUGAUAGAGGUGAACUUGGGUUCUUAUUGUAAAAUGAAGAAUACUGAUUCUUUUCAUUCAAGUAUUAAUUUUCAGAGAACAAAAUUGGGGUAAAAUCACCUCUAAAUAUAGCAUAUAUUCUAUAAAUGUUUAUAUUCUCUCUUUAUCUCUUGUAUCAAAAUGGACAGACUUUCUAAUGAGCAUCAUAUAAUCAGUUCUAGUCAUUAUUCUUUUUGAUGGCCAAAUUGUUUGAAGAGUUGAGAGCCUCUUAAAACUGGCUCCUAUGUCUUUUGCAUGUGUCCCUGCUGAUCUCUGUGAACUUCCUUGCUUUCCAGCAUUAGAUUCUGUGUUUACAUUACACUUUCCCUGACCCAAAUCUGGAAUUAGUCAUUUAUCCAAGGAGCCAUAUUUCCUUCUAUCAAUGAAUGGUAUUUAGAAGCCAGGAUAUGGAUGCUAGAAGUGUUCCCUAUUGCCUGGAAGCCACUGCUUCCAGAAACUCUCAGUGAACAGAACUGUGUGUGUGUGUGUGUGUGUGUGUGUGUGUGUGUGUGUGUGUGUAAAUGUACUUUUACAUUGUGAAUUCAUAUUUAAUACUUCAAAUAUUAGCCAAAAGUUUUUGAUAUUUUUCUCUUACACUAAUUUUUAGUAAGUUUAAGAUCCAUAUUGUUUCACUAAGACUUUUACAUUACUUAGUUUUUAAACAGAAUUAAAUGAUCUGAGAAGUGUGUCUCCUCUGUUUCUAGCUUCAGCCCUCUAAGCAAGACGAACUUUCACUGAGAUAUUUACCAGGUCUUUAAAAUUUAACUACUUUUAAAUGAAAAAAAAAAUAGUAUUAAAGUCUAUUUUUCAUAGUCAUAAUUCUAAGUAACUUUUUGAUCAACUUUCUCAUUUUAUUUAAGUGAAACUGGUUAUCUUGUUGUUGAGAUUCACUGAGAGUCCAGUUUAAUUCCUCUAUUCAUGGGAACUACUCUGGUAACUUCUGUCCUCUGCACUGGGACUUGGCCUCUAAAUUUUUCUCAACUCAUCUUUCCACAAACUAUUGGCAUGUUAACUCAGACUUAUUUACUGUCCCUAACCUAGUUUGAUGGCCCGUUGCCUUGGAUAAAAAAUUACAGUUCAUGUAAGUGACUAGUGAAGCACAUUGGGCCUAUAGUUGGUAAUUAUGGCCAUUGUGAAAUAAGCCAGCCAAGAGGAAUUCAUAGCAGAGGUAGUUGGAUGCAGUCAGGAAAUAUUUUAGCCAUUCUGAAAAUUAAGAAGCCUGCAUGCAAUUUGAGAAUGCUUAGCUACCAGAAGAGAAGUGGUCAUGAAGUUCUAAAAGUCUCACUCUUCUGUGGUGCUUUAGUAAACUUGGAAAUGUUUAAAAGAGUCAGACAGACUUGUAACGAGUUUAUGAUGAGUCAGUGUUGUCCCUGAUGGAAAUAGUACCAUUGUGUAAGAAAAGACUGCCUGGAGUUCCUGUUGUGGUGCAGCGGAAAUGAAUCUGACUACAAACCAUGAGGUUGUGGGUUCGAUCCCUGCCCUUAGGCAGUGGGUUAAGGAUCCAGCGUUGCUGUGAGCUGUGGUGUAGGUUGCAGACAGGGCUCAGAUCUGGUGUUGCUGUCCUUGUGGCUUAGGCUGGUGGCUGCAACUCUGAUUCCUAGCCUGGGAACUUCCAUAUGCCAUGAGUGCAGCCCUAAGUUG